rnacentral:rRNA from 1 species
UACAGAGGGUGCAAGCGUUAAUCGGAAUUACUGGGCGUAAAGCGUGCGUAGACGGUUAUGUAAGUCGGGUGUGAAAGCCCCGGGCUCAACCUGGGAAUUGCAUUCGAGACUGUGUAGCUAGGGUACGGAAGAGGGAAGCGGAAUUUCAGGUGUAGCGGUGAAAUGCGUAGAUAUCUGAAGGAACACCGGUGGCGAAGGCGGCAUCCUGGACCAACACUGACGCUGAGACGCGAAAGCGUGGGGAGCAAACAGG